GGUCACAAGCGUUAUCCGGAAUUAUUGGGCGUAAAGCGUUCGUAGGCGGUUUGUUAAGUCUGGAGUUAAAGACUGGGGCUCAACCCCAGCCCGCUCUGGAUACUGGCUGACUAGAGUUACAUAGAGGUAAGUGGAAUUCUUAGUGGAGCGGUGGAAUGCGUAGAUAUUAGGAAGAACACCAAUGGCGAAGGCAGCUUACUGGAUGUACACUGACGCCCAGGGACGAAAGCGUGGGGAGCAAACAGGAUUAGAUACCCUGGUAGUCCACGCCGUAAACGAUGAUCAUUAGCCGCUAGAAUAUUUAGUGGCGCAGCUAACGCAUUAAAUGAUCCGCCUGAGUAGUAUGCUCGCAAGAGUGAAACUUAAAGGAAUUGACGGGGACCCGCACAAGCGGUGGAGCAUGUGGUUUAAUUUGAAGAUACGCGUAGAACCUUACCCACUCUUGACAUCUUCCGCAAUACUAUGGAGACAUAGUGGAGGUUAACGGAAUGACAGAUGGUGCAUGGUUGUCGUCAGCUCGUGCCGUGAGGUGUUAGGUUAAGUCCUGCAACGAGCGCAACCCCUGUCUUUAGUUACUAACGGGUAAUGCCGAGGACUCUAAAGAGACUGACUGGGUAACCAGUAGGAAGGUGGGGACGACGUCAAAUCAUCAUGCCUCUUACGAGUGGGGCAACACACGUGCUACAAUGGACGGUACAAAGAGAAGCAAUAUGGUGACAUGGAGCAAACCUCAAAAAACCGUUCUCAGUUCGGAUUGAAGUCUGAAACUCGACUUCAUGAAGUUGGAAUCGCUAGUAAUCGUAGAUCAGCUACGCUACGGUGAAUACGUUCUCGGGUCUUGUACACACCGCCCGUC
rnacentral:rRNA from 1 species